GAGAACACCAUGCCCAUUUCAAGAAUACGCCAUUGCAAAAAUCCAAAACGUCCCUUUGUCCUCAAACCGUCAGCUAUUAAUUACAGACUUUGACAAGGGGGGUUAUGCAUACACAGAAGGUAACAAAAUGCCUUCGUGCGUGCAUCCCCCAGCGAAGCAAGCAACUCCAUCAUCUAGCUUUAGCUACCAAGCGGCGAAAACAGAGCAACAUCUGGUUGCAACCUCGUGUUCUCAUGUCACGGUGAGGGAUACAAGACGAGCCGAUGAAGAGGGCGCGGGGAAGCUGCUCGCAUCGGCAGCGAUCGUCGUCGGCUGGUGGUACCCGCGAGCGGCACUUCGCUCCAGCUGCUCCCACAUGAGCCUCCGCCGCUCCUCAGUCACGGCCCGCUUCUCCUCUUCCUCUUGGAAGUUGUCGUGGCAGGCUUGAAGCAGCCUCUCGUCCAUGUCGCGGAACAUUUUCCGCACGUUCAUGGUUACGUUGAGGACCGACUGGUUCCAGUGCCAGCGGGUGUUCCUCUCCAGAGCUGGGUAUAUGAUUGGUAGGAUUACUUGGCGGUUUUGGGAGAUCAUGUCGAAUAGGUGCUCGUUGUUCCAUAGGAACAAGGCUCUCUCUGCAACCUGCAAAAAAGCAUGCCAAGAAAAGGCAGUGCUUGAGUGUCAAAGGAUAAUCCCUUUACGCAACAAUGC
rnacentral:misc_RNA from 1 species